AUUUCUCUUGGACUCCAUUUAAAUUGCUCCAGUCUGAUAAUGACUCCUCUACCCAUAUUCUAAUUUUAGAAAAGUCUGUUUUUUUAAAGUCUAAAACUUUUGUUUUUGUGUGGUGUGACUCAGUCACUGUUCUUAUAUUAAACCACACUGACUGAUGAUCACUGGAUCCUAAACUUUCACCUACAGUAAUAUCUGAUACCAAAUCU